rnacentral:rRNA from 1 species
GACGAACGCUGGCGGCGUGCCUAACACAUGCAAGUCGAACGGAGCACCUUCGGGUGCUUAGUGGCGAACGGGUGAGUAACGCGUGAGAAACCUGCCUUUCAGUGGGGGACAACAGUUGGAAACGACUGCUAAUACCGCAUAAUGUCAUUUGGGGGCAUCCUCGAAUGACCAAAGAUUUAUUGCUGAAAGAUGGUCUCGCGUCUGAUUAGCUAGUUGGUGAGGUAACGGCUCACCAAGGCGACGAUCAGUAGCCGGUCUGAGAGGAUGAACGGCCACAUUGGGACUGAGAUACGGCCCAGACUCCUACGGGAGCAGCAGUGGGGAAUAUUGGGCAAUGGGCGAAAGCCUGACCCAGCAACGCCGCGUGAAGGAAGAAGGCCUGGUUGUAAC